CCUUUCAAAUUUCGCAAUGUUUAGCCAAACACCCGCUUAAUAACCCGUAAAAGAUUUGAGUUUUGGUAAGCCCGGGAAAGUUCAAAUCCCGCGGGGACGAGACUUCCUAAUUGAUACUCCAAUUCUUUUGUAGAGCCGGUAAAUUUCAUAAUCUCAAGCUGCUCUGGAAUGUGCACCAAGUUUGUUAUCACCAACAUUUCACCGUCUUCCAUAUGAGUUCCAUCACAGUAUGAAAAUCAGAUUCUAAUCCCAAUCACAGGUUAAAAAGUUGGAAGACAAAGAAAACAGAGGCGCACGGUGGGUUCCUGCAGCGGGACCCUGCUAACAGGGAGCGCGUGUCUUUCGUGUGCAAUCCAAUGGCUAAUUGGCUACCAAUCACCUCAAGUACAAGUCAUAGUUUUUGAAUGCUUCAGGUGCCAUGGUCAUCAUGAUGGGAAACUCAAUUUGUGGUACUGUCACUCGUACCUGAUAUGCCCAUUAUUGCACCCCACUGACGUAGCCUAUUCAACUUCCCUUUUCUUUUCUUCUUUCAAAAGGUAGUGAGAGCACAUAAUUUCCUUAUAACAAUCAUGUAUUCAACCCAAUCAAGUCUUUGUCCCGACUGGCUGGGAAUUCUGGCCUAGUUUUACUUAUCUCUUGGUCAUUUUUCUUUA